rnacentral:tRNA from 1 species
GGGGAUUUAGCUCAGUGGUUGAGCGCUUGCCUAGGAAGCGCAAGGCCCUGGGUUCGGUUCCCAGCUCCG